AUUGAACGCUGGCGGCAUGCCUUACACAUGCAAGUCGAACGGCAGCACGGGAGCAAUCCUGGUGGCGAGUGGCGAACGGGUGAGUAAUAUAUCGGAACGUGCCCAGUCGUGGGGAUAACGUAGCGAAAGCUACGCUAAUACCGCAUACGAUCUAUGGAUGAAAGCGGGGGAUCGCAAGACCUCGCGCGAUUGGAGCGGCCGAUAUCAGAUUAGGUAGUUGGUGAGGUAAAGGCUCACCAAGCCGACGAUCUGUAGCUGGUCUGAGAGGACGACCAGCCACACUGGGACUGAGACACGGCCCAGACUCCUACGGGAGGCAGCAGUGGGGAAUUUUUGGGACAAUGGGCGCAAGCCUGAUCCAGCAAUGCCGCGUGCAGGAUGAAGGCCUUCGGUU
rnacentral:rRNA from 1 species